AUUAAUAAGCGGAGGAAAAGAAACUAACGAGGAUUCCCUUAGUAACGGCGAGUGAAGCGGGAUGAGCCCAGCACCGAAUCCCCCGCCUGACGGCGGCGGGAAAUGUGGUGUUCAGGACAACCUUCGGGGAUCGGUCGGGAGUCCGAGUCCUCCUGAUCGGGGCUUGACCCAGAGCGGGUGUCAGGCCUCUACGGCGUCCGGCCGGUCCUCCGUGGGCGUCCUAGGAGUCGGGUUGUUUGAGAUUGCAGCCCAAAGUGGGUGGUAAACUCCAUCUAAGGCUAAAUACUGACACGAGUCCGAUAGCGAACAAGUACCGUGAGGGAAAGUU
rnacentral:rRNA from 1 species